rnacentral:rRNA from 1 species
UACGUAGGGCGCAAGCGUUGUCCGGAAUUAUUGGGCGUAAAGAGCUCGUAGGCGGUUUGUCGCGUCUGGUGUGAAAACUCAAGGCUCAACCUUGAGCUUGCAUCGGGUACGGGCAGACUAGAGUGUGGUAGGGGGUGACUGGAAUUCCUGGUGUAGCGGUGGAAUGCGCAGAUAUCAGGAGGAACACCGAUGGCGAAGGCAGGUCACUGGGCCACUACUGACGCUGAGGAGCGAAAAGCAUGGGGGAGCGAACAGG